UGAAAUCGCUCACUUAUACAUUGAAUACACCAUAUAUCACAAAGAUACACAGUGUAUUAAAUGUAAAAUAUAAAGAUUCACUCACGUUUCCUCUGUCACAGCGCCACUUUGUGGGUGUUACUCUUCAUGUAACCCCCACCUCCUGGCCUCCUGUCCCCCAUCUCAAGUCAACUUUUAUUUGCCCUGCUUCAUUGCCAGUGUGCCAUUGUCAGAAGGGAGUGACAUCACGUCACUCCGUUCUUAUACUCUCUAGCUGGUGCUAGAAGCACUUGCUAGGGAGCUUCCAUUGCAACCUCAAUUCAUGACAACUGGGAAAAAUAUAUAUUUUUAAAUAGGUUUUUGUGUUAAUCUAAACAUUUUCUAGCAAAACUGCUAGCACAAUAUAUAGAUAAACUCUUAUGCUCAAGUUAAUGAGCAUAAGUUGUUUUAGGCGUGUCAGG